GCAAAGAGGCUGCCACACUUCUAGCCCCAGCCAUGCUCUUGAUGCUCGCCUCAGUGCUGGGGCUUCACUUAGCCCUGAGAGACGCUGGAGCCCAGACGGUGACCCAGCCCGACGCCCACGUCUCUGUGUCUGAAGGAGAAGCUGUGGAGCUGAGGUGCAACUACUCCUAUGGGGGAGCUAUUUACCUCUUCUGGUACGUCCAGCACCGCGGUCAAAGUCCUCAGCUUCUCCUUAAGUACGUCUCAGGGGACACCCUGGUUCAGGGCCUCCACGGUUUUGAGGCUGAAUUUAAGAAGAGCGAAUCUUCCUUCCACCUGAGGAAGCCCUCUGUGCACCUGAGCGACGCGGCCCAGUACUGGUGUGCGCUGAGUGCCACAGUGCCUGGGGCUGCAGGGGGAGCAGUGCAUAAACCACCCCUGAGUGCAGAGCUCAGAAACUCAGGAGCUCUUUCUGCUCCAACACAGCAAACGAGAGAGAGCGAGCUGGGCUGA